rnacentral:tRNA from 1 species
GCCGGAGUAGCUCAGCCGGUUAGAGCAGCGGAAUCAUAAUCCGCGUGUCGGGGGUUCGAGUCCCUCCUCCGGCA